rnacentral:rRNA from 1 species
UACGUAGGGUGCAAGCGUUAAUCGGAAUUACUGGGCGUAAAGUGUGCGCAGGCGGCCGCGCAAGUCGAGUGUGAAAGCCCCGAGCUUAACUUGGGAAUUGCGCUCGAAACUACGUGGCUGGAGUGUGGCAGAGGAAGGUGGAAUUCCACGUGUAGCAGUGAAAUGCGUAGAGAUGUGGAGGAACACCGAUGGCGAAGGCAGCCCCCUGGGUCAACACUGACGCUCAUGCACGAAAGCGUGGGGAGCAAACAGG